rnacentral:rRNA from 1 species
GACGAAUGCUGGCGGCGUGCCUAAUACAUGCAAGUAGAACGCUGAAGGAGGAGCUUGCUUCUCUGGAUGAGUUGCGAACGGGUGAGUAACGCGUAGGUAACCUGCCUGGUAGCGGGGGAUAACUAUUGGAAACGAUAGCUAAUACCGCAUAAUAGUAGAUGUUGCAUGACAUUUGCUUAAAAGGUGCAAUUGCAUCACUACCAGAUGGACCUGCGUUGUAUUAGCUAGUUGGUGAGGUAACGGCUCACCAAGGCGACGAUACAUAGCCGACCUGAGAGGGUGAUCGGCCACACUGGGACUGAGACACGGCCCAGACUCCUACGGGAGGCAGCAGUAGGGAAUCUUCGGCAAUGGACGGAAGUCUGACCGAGCAACGCCGCGUGAGUGAAGAAGGUUUUCGGAUCGUAAAGCUCUGUUGUAAGAGAAGAACGAGUGUGAGAGUGGAAAGUUCACACUGUGACGGUAUCUGACCAGAAAGGGACGGCUAACUACGUG